GAUGAACGCUGGCGGCGUGCCUAACACAUGCAAGUCGAACGGAAAGACGAGGAGUUUGCGUCGUUGACGUGAGCGGCGCGGGGGUGUGUAACAUGUGUAUAACCCACCUGUAUGACGGGGAAAAUCUGGGGAAACCGGAGCCUACACCGGAGGAGCUUCUGAAGCGCAGGGGGGGAUAGUGAAUGUCGGCUUUUCGGGCACUUAUAGCGGGUUCUCUGCUGGAUUGGGUGGUUGGUAAGGUAACGGCUUUUCAAGGGAACGAUGCAUAGCCGAGGUGAGAGGGUGAUCGGCCACACGGGAACGUAGACGCGGUCCAGGCUCCUACGAGAGGCAGCAGUCGGGAAUCGUGCGCAAUGGGCGAAAGCCUGACGCAGCGACGCCGCGUGUGUGAUGACGGCCUUCGGUUCGUAAAGCUCUCUUAUUGGGGAAGAACCUAUGUCUACUUAGAUGUGGCCUUAUUGACGGUAACUGGUCAAGAAGCAACGGCUAACUACGUG
rnacentral:rRNA from 1 species